rnacentral:lncRNA from 1 species
AACAAACCCUAAAAUUAAAGGCAUAUGUGAGCUGAUGCAUCAGUUUGGGAUAGCUGAACGUCCCAGAAGCAGGGGGGGAUUGUACUCACCCUCAAGCUUUUUCCCACAGGCUUCCAGAGGAUCCUCACAAAAAGACUGGAGACAGGGUAAGAGAUGUGAGAGAGCCACCUCACUAAUGCAGGUAUGAGGAAGCAAUGGGCGGCUGUUAGGGGUUGGGCACAGGCCUUACUUACUUCUUUGCGUUCUUCUCUCUCAUGAAGCAAAAGCCUUAAAUCACUGAGGGGAGGGGCAGCAAACCUCUUACCAAAGACCCAUCGCAUCUAAGGGGAGUAGAAGCAAAAUCCACCUGCUUCUGGAGGAGAGGCAAGAAACCAUCUUGGAUCUUGAAUCUUACCAAUCAGAGUUCUGCUCCCACUGGUGGAGAGGCAAGAAACUCCUGCACAAGACCAACCUCAGAAACAAGACAGAGUUUGGUUGCCAUUGUCAGGAUGUGUAGACAUAUUGAGGAAGCUCCACCUCCAAGACUGUAUAGGGCCUGACAAAGAAUCAGGCUGGAACAGGACAGCAGAGAAUUCCCCCUGCAACAGCAUUCUACAGAUGGAUGAGGAGCAAGAGUGUGGGCAGAGACCGAAUGCUGGAGGAGGAGCAGAAACCAUCAGAGAAACCCUCCAGCACUCUGUCUCCCAUCCCAAGCACCAGGGAUUAGUAGCCCAACUGCUUCUGUAUUUUGAUACUUCAACAUCUGGGGCCUUGCUGAACCUGGAGGGACUGCCCCUCCAAGAGAUAGCUAAUUCCUAGAGAGAGCCAGCAACUUACCUGCCAGCAUGUCUUUAAUAGACAAACCAACCAAUCCAGAGCUCACACUCCUAACCAGUUCCUCUAAUGGGCUCUCACACUCAAGACCACUAUUCCCC